ACGAACGCUGGCGGCGUGGAUUAGGCAUGCAAGUCGAACGAGGAUAUAUCCUUCGGGAUAUAAGCCGAGUGGCGCAAGGGUGAGUAAUGCAUAGAUUACCUGCCUCUAGGAUAAGGACAACUUUGUGAAAACGAAGCUAAUACUUAAUAAUACUGAAGAGAAUAAUUUUCUUUAGUCAAUGGAAGGGUAGCAAUACCUUUUGCCUAGAGAGGGGUUUAUGUCCUAUCAGCUUGUUGGUGGGGUAAUGGCCUACCAAGGCGAAGACGGGUAGCCGGUCUUAGAGGAUGGUCGGCCACACUGGGACUGAGACACUGCCCAGACUUCUACGGAAGGCUGCAGUCGAGAAUCUUUCGCAAUGCCCGAAAGGGUGACGAAGCGACGCCGCGUGAGUGAGGAAGGCCUUCGGGUUGUAAAGCUCUGUCAGGUGUUAAGAAAUAUAAGUGUGCUAAUACCACGUUUAUUUGACGAAGGCACCAAAGGAAGCCACGGCUAACUCUGUGCCAGCAGCCGCGGUAAUACAGAGGUGGCAAGCGUUGUUCGGAAUUAUUGGGCGUAAAGAGCACGUAGGUGGGUUUGUAAGUCAGAUGUGAAAGCCUUCUGUUCAACGGAAGAAUUGCAUCUGAAACUACAAGUCUUGAGUGUAGGAGGGGAGAAUGGAACUUCUGGUGGAGCGGUGAAAUGCGUAGAUAUCAGAAGGAACGCCGGCGGCGAAAGCGAUUCUCUGGCCUAUUACUGACACUCAGUGUGCGAAAGCUAGGGGAGCAAACGGGAUUAGAUACCCCGGUAGUCCUAGCCGUAAACGAUGGGCACUAAGUAGAGGGAAUUACCGAUGUUCUCUCUGCCGUAGCUAACGCAUUAAGUGCCCCGCCUGGGGAGUACGGCCGCAAGGCUAAAACUCAAAAGAAUUGACGGGGGCUCGCACAAGCGGUGGAGCAUGUGGCUUAAUUCGAUGCAACGCGAAGAACCUUACCUGAACUUGACAUGCACGGGACCGCUCUAGAAAUAGAGUUUCUCUUCGGAGCCCGUGUGCAGGUGCUGCAUGGCUGUCGUCAGCUCGUGUCGUGAGAUGUUGGGUUAAGUCCCGCAACGAGCGCAACCCCUACCUUUAGUUGCCAUCGGGUCAUGCCGGGGACUCUAGAGGGACUGCCGGUGAUAAACCGGAGGAAGGUGGGGAUGACGUCAAGUCCUCAUGGCCUUUAUGUUCAGGGCUACACACGUGCUACAAUGGCCGGUACAAAGAGUUGCGAGACCGCGAGGUGGAGCUAAUCUCAUAAAGCCGGUCUCAGUUCGGAUCGGAGUCUGCAACUCGACUCCGUGAAGUCGGAAUCGCUAGUAAUCGUGGAUCAGAACGCCACGGUGAAUACGUUCCCGGGUCUUGUACACACCGC
rnacentral:rRNA from 1 species